rnacentral:rRNA from 1 species
UUAAGCGACUAAGCGUACACGGUGGAUGCCCUGGCAGUCAGAGGCGAUGAAGGACGUGCUAAUCUGCGAAAAGCGCCGGCGAGGUGAUAUGAACCUUUGACCCGGCGAUGUCCGAAUGGGGAAACCCAGUGCAAUUCGUUGCACUAUCGUUAACUGAACACAUAGGUUAACGAGGCGAACCGGGGGAACUGAAACAUCUAAGUACCCCGAGGAAAAGAAAUCAACCGAGAUUCCCCCAGUAGCGGCGAGCGAACGGGGAGGAGCCCAGAGUCUGAAUCAGCGUGUGUGUUAGUGGAAGCGUCUGGAAAGUCGCACGAUACAGGGUGAAAGUCCCGUACACGAAAAUGCACAGGCUGUGAACUCGAAGAGUAGGGCGGGACACGUGGUAUCCUGUCUGAAUAUGGGGGGACCAUCCUCCAAGGCUAAAUACUCCUGACUGACCGAUAGUGAACCAGUACCGUGAGGGAAAGGCGAAAAGAACCCCGGCGAGGGGAGUGAAAAAGAACCUGAAACCGUGUACGUACAAGCAGUGGGAGCAUCCUUCGGGGUGUGACUGCGUACCUUUUGUAUAAUGGGUCAGCGACUUAUAUUCUGUAGCAAGGUUAACCGAAUAGGGGAGCCGAAGGGAAACCGAGUCUUAACUGGGCGUUAAGUUGCAGGGUAUAGACCCGAAACCCGGUGAUCUAGCCAUGGGCAGGUUGAAGGUUGGGUAACACUAACUGGAGGACCGAACCGACUAAUGUUGAAAAAUUAGCGGAUGACCUGUGGCUGGGGGUGAAAGGCCAAUCAAACCGGGAGAUAGCUGGUUCUCCCCGAAAGCUAUUUAGGUAGCGCCUCGUGAACUCAUCUUCGGGGGUAGAGCACUGUUUCGGCUAGGGGGUCAUCCCGACUUACCAACCCGAUGCAAACUGCGAAUACCGAAGAAUGUUAUCACGGGAGACACACGGCGGGUGCUAACGUCCGUCGUGAAGAGGGAAACAACCCAGACCGCCAGCUAAGGUCCCAAAGUCAUGGUUAAGUGGGAAACGAUGUGGGAAGGCCCAGACAGCCAGGAUGUUGGCUUAGAAGCAGCCAUCAUUUAAAGAAAGCGUAAUAGCUCACUGGUCGAGUCGGCCUGCGCGGAAGAUGUAACGGGGCUAAACCAUGCACCGAAGCUGCGGCAGCGACACUGUGUGUUGUUGGGUAGGGGAGCGUUCUGUAAGCCGUCGAAGGUGGCCUGUGAGGGCUGCUGGAGGUAUCAGAAGUGCGAAUGCUGACAUAAGUAACGAUAAAGCGGGUGAAAAGCCCGCUCGCCGGAAGACCAAGGGUUCCUGUCCAACGUUAAUCGGGGCAGGGUGAGUCGACCCCUAAGGCGAGGCCGAAAGGCGUAGUCGAUGGGAAACAGGUUAAUAUUCCUGUACUUGGUGUUACUGCGAAGGGGGGACGGAGAAGGCUAUGUUAGCCGGGCGACGGUUGUCCCGGUUUAAGCAUGUAGGCGGAGGUUCCAGGUAAAUCCGGUACCUUUUAACGCUGAGGUGUGAUGACGAGGCACUACGGUGCUGAAGUAACAAAUGCCCUGCUUCCAGGAAAAGCCUCUAAGCAUCAGGUAACACGAAAUCGUACCCCAAACCGACACAGGUGGUCAGGUAGAGAAUACCAAGGCGCUUGAGAGAACUCGGGUGAAGGAACUAGGCAAAAUGGUGCCGUAACUUCGGGAGAAGGCACGCUGACAUGUAGGUGAAGCCCCUGCGGGUGGAGCUGAAGUCAGUCGAAGAUACCAGCUGGCUGCAACUGUUUAUUAAAAACACAGCACUGUGCAAACACGAAAGUGGACGUAUACGGUGUGACGCCUGCCCGGUGCCGGAAGGUUAAUUGAUGGGGUUAUCCGUAAGGAGAAGCUCUUGAUCGAAGCCCCGGUAAACGGCGGCCGUAACUAUAACGGUCCUAAGGUAGCGAAAUUCCUUGUCGGGUAAGUUCCGACCUGCACGAAUGGCGUAAUGAUGGCCAGGCUGUCUCCACCCGAGACUCAGUGAAAUUGAACUCGCUGUGAAGAUGCAGUGUACCCGCGGCAAGACGGAAAGACCCCGUGAACCUUUACUAUAGCUUGACACUGAACAUUGAGCCUUGAUGUGUAGGAUAGGUGGGAGGCUUUGAAGCGUGGACGCCAGUCUGCGUGGAGCCAACCUUGAAAUACCACCCUUUAAUGUUUGAUGUUCUAACCUGGUACCGUAAUCCGGUAUGGGGACAGUGUCUGGUGGGUAGUUUGACUGGGGCGGUCUCCUCCUAAAGAGUAACGGAGGAGCACGAAGGUUGGCUAAUCCUGGUCGGACAUCAGGAGGUUAGUGCAAUGGCAUAAGCCAGCUUGACUGCGAGCGUGACGGCGCGAGCAGGUGCGAAAGCAGGUCAUAGUGAUCCGGUGGUUCUGAAUGGAAGGGCCAUCGCUCAACGGAUAAAAGGUACUCCGGGGAUAACAGGCUGAUACCGCCCAAGAGUUCAUAUCGACGGCGGUGUUUGGCACCUCGAUGUCGGCUCAUCACAUCCUGGGGCUGAAGUAGGUCCCAAGGGUAUGGCUGUUCGCCAUUUAAAGUGGUACGCGAGCUGGGUUUAGAACGUCGUGAGACAGUUCGGUCCCUAUCUGCCGUGGGCGCUGGAGAAUUGAGGGGGGCUGCUCCUAGUACGAGAGGACCGGAGUGGACGCAUCACUGGUGUUCGGGUUGUCAUGCCAAUGGCAUUGCCCGGUAGCUACAUGCGGAAGAGAUAAGUGCUGAAAGCAUCUAAGCACGAAACUUGCCCCGAGAUGAGUUCUCCCUGAGACCCAGAGUCUCCUGAAGGAACGUUGAAGACGACGACGUUGAUAGGCCGGGUGUGUAAGCGCAGCGAUGCGUUGAGCUAACCGGUACUAAUGAACCGUGAGGCUUAACCUU